rnacentral:rRNA from 1 species
UAUAUUAUAGAGAGUCAGGCCUGCCCAGUGAAUAAUAUUUAACGGCCGCGGUACUCUGACCGUGCAAAGGUAGCAUAAUCAUUUGCCUUAUAAUUGAAGGCUGGUAUGAAUGGUUUAACGAGAGCAAUGCUGUCUCCUUUCUAUUUUCAAGAACUUAACCUUUAGGUGAAGAGGCCCAAAUUUAAUUGAAGGACAAGAAGACCCUGUCGAGCUUAAAAGACACUAUAGAAGUUCAUAUAUUUUUAAAUAAAUUAUCUAUUAAGCUUUUUAGUUGGGGCGACUAAGGAACAAAAAAAGCUUCUUACAUUAAAGAAACAACCAAGUUUUGAUCCGAUAACAAUCGAUUAAAGAAAUUAGUUACCGCAGGGAUAACAGCAUAAUCUCUCUUGAGAGACCUAAUCGAAAGAGGGGGUUGUGACCUCGAUGUUGGACUAGAAUAUCCUAAAGAUGCAGAAGUCUUUAAGGGU